rnacentral:lncRNA from 1 species
GGGACACGCGACACGCGGCUUUUCCCGUGCAGCGACUAGUCGGCCGCGUUCAGAGGCAGAAGGAAGGCGAAUCGCGGACGGCCUGCUCUUCUUAGCGGAGGAAAAGGAUACAAUGUAACAGAGAGCCGCUCACCUGCCUCGCCGACACGAGAGCCGCUCCGCUCCUCUUCUUCUCCUGCAGCUAUUUCCACUUGUUCAAGUGUCUCUCAGAUGAGCAUCGCCGGCGUGUCACUCGUCUUCAUCUCCACUCAUCGUUCCCUUAUUCUCCAGCACCGCGCGCGCGCGCACAGACACACACACACACACACACACACACACACACACACACACACACACACGCGCACACGCUGGUCCAGGCGCUCAGCUCCAGUCCCCCGGAAGAUGACUGAGUGUGAAAGACGCUCCUCGGCAGAUGAACUCCUUGCUCUGUAACUUGUGCGGUCUUUCCGUCUCCUGCUCCCCCCGCCGGGUUUCGGGCUCUUACUUUACACACAGAUCACUUCCAUUCCCCGGAUCCCUGGACUGUCCAGCGCUGCGGGGACAUGCCAUGGCACUCUCUCCCUCCUUCUCUCUCUCUCUCUCUCUCUCUCUCUCUCUCUCUCUCUCUCACACACACACACACACGCACGGACACACACUCUUUCGUUCUCUUUCCCCCCCGUUUUCUGAGUGCACUUCCUCGCCCCGCAGACGGAGCCGCGAGACGGAGAGAAGCUGCCUGACACCGGGUUUGCGGCGCUGCGGCGCGUGCCACCGCGAGCUCCCGGUGUGGAGGGGGGUGGUGGGGGGUGUUGGGUCGACCAACGACGACGAGGAGGAGGAGGAGGAGGAGGAGGGGACGGGAGCGCGCGGUCCGGAGUGCAGUAUUUCCAUAUUCACAUGAACCCAGAGGAAUACAAAAAUAAUGAAAUGUGAAGCGAUGCUAAUGUGGAGCAGGUGAAAAAUGAACACAAGAGAAGAGGUCGAAGCACAGAAUUCACCUGUAAGUCGGAGGAAGGAGCAUUAAAACUUGAUUACAACUCUUGUAAAGAUCCAAUUUGUUUGCAGAGUAGGAGGGAAGAGCUCCAAAGGAGCCUCCUGCAGAGGAACAGAAGCGAAGCAGAGGAGGAGCACAACUUCUCUUCACUACAAUGACGAACCUCCUUCAUUUCCAUUUCAUUGUUCUCGUAGUAUUUUACAUCUCAAACAAAAAACACCUGAAAUUGACAAGAAGCCUCAAACAGCACUCCUGAUUUGUUUUAAAUCAUUUAUAUUACAAACACCUUUUUAACAUCUGCGAAUCUCUGUAAUCCUAGUCAUUUACAUUGAAAAUGAACUCUUUUUUAUAUGUGGCUGUCAAACAUGCAACAACCUACAAACAGUCAUCACCUCUGUGUCCUUUCCUUAAUAAGUCACAUUUGUUUUAAACAUGACCUUAUAAAGAGUUACCCUCCUUGCCUUCGUACACAUUUUCUGUAACUCCAUUAGCCCAUUUUCUGAGCAGUGGUCUGGUAGUUAACCUUUUAAUUAAACUAUUAAUCUGAAAAGUGAAAAUAAAUUCCACUGAGAUGCAAUGCUUAAAUUACA